CAUUAAAGCGGUACGCGAGCUGGGUUCAGAACGUCGUGAGACAGUUCGGUCCCUAUCUGUUGUGGGCGUUGGAAAUUUGAGGAGAGCUGCCCCUAGUACGAGAGGACCAGGGUGGACGUUCCUACGGUGCACCAGUUGUCACGCCAGUGGCAUAGCUGGAUAGCUGAGAACGGACCGGAUAAACGCUGAAGGCAUCUAAGCGUGAAACCGACUCCAAGAUUAGAUUUCCCAUCAUUUCAAAUGAAUAAGACCCCUUGAAGACGACGAGGUUGAUAGGUCAGAGAUGUAAGUGUAGCGAUACAUUCAGUUGACUGAUACUAAUAGGUCGAGCACUUGACCA
rnacentral:rRNA from 1 species